GUUUACUCUUAAUGCUGCUUGUGUUAGAAGCAUAUGUGAAGGAAACUGGACUCAGAGCGACUGAUAAGGAAAUGCUGGUACCUGCCUCCCUCUGAUGCAUAAAUUGAAUAGCCAUUAUUCCAGGCUGGGCGACCUUCUAAACUAUUUUAAAUUUGAAUUCAAAACAACUCUAGAUGAAGUAAGUAUGAUUUCAAAUACGCUCUGAUGUUAAUUGCUGCUAAUGAUAUCCAACAGGUGUGUUUGCAGUGUGUGCUGACGAGUUGCUGAGGACUCAGCCAGAUGGAACUCGGAAACUUAUUGAAAUACAGUGCAGAGUAUUAUGCAGGGGUAGCCUAUUCUUUAUUUUAGCUAUUUGGGUUUUAGACUACAAAAUAUAGAGGAAAAAUACAUUGCAGCAAAGCCAUUUAGUAGCUGUGAGCAUGGUUGAUGGAUAAAAAUAUUUUAAAAUUAAUUAAGAAAUGCUAGCAACACGUGUUUAAAAAUUCUGAGAAAUUUCUAUCAGGAAAGAAAGGAACUACAUUGAUUGACUUAAUCUCAAUUUUAUUUCUUUACGUUCACUUCUUUUGAUGAGAAAUUCCCAUUAAAUUGAGCGAUGCUGAGCUGCUGGAACAGGCUGUUCUAACAUUACAUAUCUUUCCUGGGAUGAUAUAAAAUUCCUUGAUAUUGAACAAGAAAAAUUGAAUUAAUUGCAUUUAAAGCUAUUUUUACUCCGUUCCCUGGAUUUUUUUUCACUGCAGGAUCUAAUUAGGACAGGUAGGAAUAUUGGCUAAAAAGGGAAUGAGGUAAGCAUUGCUCUUUAUUUUUUUCCCCUCUUUAUCUUCAUACACCUUUUAAUCUUAAUGCCAACAAGAAUAACAGACAAGUGUACAGACAAUCUUUGUAAGUUUACAAAAGUGGGAAUUGAAUAUGCUGUGUCACUUAUAGCUAAUGAUAGCUUGUUCUUAAUAGUAAGUUAUUGUCUACAAUUAAGUUUUGCAUUUUCUCAUAUAAACAUGUACUGUUUUCUGUGAACACCUCCUGGAAGAUAUUUCUGCAGUUGUUAUUAUUCCUUCAGACAAUGGAUCUAUGUUUUUAUCCAUAGAAAUAGAAUAUGGUUAUUCCAUAGAAUAACCAUGCUAGCAAAAAGGUGUAUUUCUAACCAAAACAUUUAAACAUUGUACAGUUUCAAGUUUGAAGACUUCUCCUUCAGAGGCUCAAGCUUAUCCUGUGAGAUCAGCAACUUUGUGCCCAGCUACACUGCUGCUUGUCUGAAUCCCAACGAAAUCUAUGUACUCAGUGCUAGCCAUUAAUUUCAGUGGGUUGCAUGCAUAUGUCUCAAGUGCUUUGUUAAAGUAGAAUCAAUAUAAGCAUAUGCCAAAAUGUCUUUCAUUAUUACAGUUGGGGAACAGACUGCUAUUACGGUUCAAAACAUGAAAGAUACAAUAGACAUAUAUGAUUAGGCAAUGAAAUAUGCCUUUAAUAAGCAUAGUGCAGACAGUUUGUUUUGCAAUAAGUAAACUUAUAUAAAAUUCAUUGACUUUUUCAUUCUUUCAGAUCUAUAUGCUCCCUUUUAAGAGAGGUUUUUUAGUUUUAUGCACAAAGUUUUCCUGAUGUUCUUCCAGGAGAAAGGCUGGAGUUGCAUGCAUUUAUUCUAGUGCCAAACAUGAAUUUUACUAGGAAAGAAGGAAGCAUAAGAGCUGACCUUUUUUGUGCUAGGGAGACGGGGUGGGGUAGAGUGUUUGUUUUUGUUUUCUGGGGCAGCAUGAAACAGAUUUAUUUUAAUUACUCAGUCUAUAAAAUAAAAAAUUCUGUCCACUGCACGUCAAAAAGCUAAUUAUGUUUCUGUUGUGGCACUCAAAGUCAAUAUUGUCAGCUCUUCUUAGUUCUAAUCCUUUACAUUGAAUUUUGAUGGGCCAGGUGAAAUAUUCCCUUCAGCACCUUAUUGCAAUUCUUGUCAAUCAUCUUGCCAUGACAACAUGCAUAUUGCAAAGACUUUGGCAACACUGCAUCUGAUUUCAGUCUUUAAUCUCAUAUGUACCUUAAAAAAACACCAUGCCAGCUGCUGACGUCCUGUUUGGGAUGUGAUUAGGAUUCUGUUUGCUUUGGGGAAACAAAAGAAAAUGAUCAAAUCUUUAAAGAAUAAAAUGGGACUCCUAGGCUUUCUUAGGCUUAAAGUUAUACCACUGGGAAGAAAACAGUUAGGAUGGUGAAUUGGUGCACCAAUUAAUCAAUGCAUCCACAUUCAUCAUGUGGACGUAAAAUGUCUCCUUUCGAGCACUACUGGAGUAAGGAAGGUUGUCUUAUUUUACCUGUAGGUUUUCUUUGCGAGGAGCGCUGUAAGUAAUGGCCACUUCCAAACGUGGUUUGUGAGUUAAUUGUAUAUGCUGCUUUGUUUGGUGUCAUUUCUUACAGACCAGACCUAGCACACCUAAAAUUUUCCAGUUCUACAAUGGAAAAUUAGCAUCAUCCCUAAGAAUCUGGAAUAGAAACUAGUAAGGCACAUUUCCAGAAUCCAAUUGCAUCAGUCAGAUUGGUAUAGUAUGAAGAGAAAAGUGAAUGUUCCCUGGGGGGAUUGUGUGAAAUGGAGACCAGUCUUGUUUGAACAAGGUGCUUUGCAUUGUUAGCUAGGUGUAGAGGUAUUGGGAGCUGCAGCCUGUCAGAACCAGCAUCUCCAAGGAGGGGGUGGGGGAAAUUUUUUCCGGGCAAAAAUCUCAGCAUUUUGUGAUCGAGUAUAUCUGAUGUGUUAAUGCUUUAAUUCAGGGAAACCCUCAAUGCUCUGCAAAAGAUACUUAGUGGUUUUGUGCCUCUUCCCCUAUUUUCUUUCAGAGAACAUGAAGACCAGAAGGACUGCUAUGGGAUAUUUUCCUAUCCUUCUUACUCUUACCAUAAAGCAAGGUGGGAAUCAGGCCUGUUCUUCCUUGUUUUGGCAGAAAAUAGAAGAACAGCAAGAUUCUUCAUAAAUCUUUCGCAAGGGGAUUUCUUUUUCCCAAGGCUGUGUUAGGAGUUUGAACCGGAUAGAUGGUAACAAAUCUAAAAAGGGCAAUGGACACCUGCUCAACCUAUGUCUCUUAAAAUAUCGCAUAAGUCUAGAAAAGUAAGAAAAUACCUAGCUAACAUUUUCUAGGAUAACAAGGGGAAGAAUUAAAAAAUACAGCUUUUAGGCUUUAAACUUGGAGGGGGGAAAAAAGAAGCAUGAAAAUACAUAAAUAUUAUUCUUUUUUUUGCAAUGUCCCUGUGAGACAAGGCUCAAAUUUAUUAUUAAACUGUGUACAUCUAUUGAAACAGAACCAGAACUGAAUGCAACCAAACAAGAUUUUAUUCGCAUAGUGUCAGAGCAGCAGAUUGUCUAGCACUUCUUAGCUUUAUGCAGGGUUUGAGCUAUCUCAAAUUAAAGCAUUCCUUGAAGUUUCUAAAGAUUUCUGUGCAUCAUUAAUUGUGUUAUUUAAAUGCUUUUGUUAAAUGGGGACAAAAGAUUGAGCUUUGACAUUUUUAUUAAAUCCCAAUAAUCUUUAUUUCUUUGACUCAGAGGGUGAAGAGGAAGUGCAUUAAUUUUCACAUGAAGACGAGUUGUACAAACACAGCUGAGAACAUCAGAAAACUCAGGCAUUUUCCUUAGAGAAAUGGAAUUGAUGAAUGUUCUACUGAAAAGACUCCUAAAUAAUCAGGGCGAUGUUGAUCCAUUAACCAAGCUUGGAAGAAGGAGUAUGCAGUUCAAAGGCCAAAAGUAUGAAAGCAAAGCCUGCUUGAUACACCAAGAGCUCCUUGUAAAUUUGAUUCUAACUUGAAUUUGAUUCUAACUUGGGAAACUAGAGAGCUGUGAAUGGGCAAAAGGCCCUUCCGAACGCUUCCAUUUUGUUUUCUGAGCUACUGCCACAAGGAAAGACUGCCUUCUGUGCUGAUGACAGAUCUGCCCUUCUGUUAUCAGACACUGCUCUUCUGCUAUCUCAAUUUCAUUAAAAUUACCUCUGCCUGAGCGCUAGUGGAUCAGCCACAUUGGGCAGAGCAGUCCUCUGAGAAAGAGAAUGAUGGAUGACAGAGCGAUUCCCUUCAACGUGACUGGGGCACUGAGGUUGUGUCAAUUCUUUCUCACUCCUUACACCUCCUCCCUUUCCCUGCUCUGCAUUCUUAACAUGAAUCACAAUAUUUCUGCAUGAACAGCAUGCACAGAUGUAACUUUAAAAAAUGUAUGGCACUGCUGUGCGCCACUUUUGUUGAAACUGUCAGGAAAAUGAUUGCUACAGGUGGCAGAAGCUGCUGAAUGAUCAUCAUAAGUUAUAUAGGGACAGAAACUGACUGCCUUUGCCGAUUUUCUAGUAUUUACACCAGUAAUACUGCUUCCUUUUCCCCCCCCAAUGCUCAUAUGUCAUUUGCUACAGCUCAUGUACUGGCCUUCCUCAUCUGCCCAAAAAGGGAGCAGGCCUGGUGUUCAUACUGUGCUGUGUUUCUGACCAAUUCUAGGGUUGAGUCUGCAGUGACGCAAUUUUACUGGCACAGAACUUGGAAGAUGUUGUACCAGAACAAAACAAAGUGUGUCUGGAAGCAUCUUGUCCUAAAAAGCAUCUGCAGGCAGUACAGAUUUCCUUAUGGAGCUGGGCUCAUGUGACUGGAUCUUGGCUGUAUUGACAAUCAGCUUUGUAUUCAUGUCCUUCCCUGAAAUACUCUCUAACAGUUGCUUUAAACAGUCUUUAGCUGAGAUCAUAUUUCUAGUUUGGGAUUCCCUUUAUACAUCUUUCAUUAAUACAGGGAUUCUCUGCAGUCAGAGACCAGCACCACAGAACAGCUGGAUCCAUUUUGGCUUGACAAAGGGCACUGGGCAUUUUUUAUACAUAUAUUUAUGGCUCUCAUGAAUGUUCAGAAUGCUUUUUAUAAAUAUUAAAAAUAAUCAAGGGUUCUGGAAAGAAUUCAUACUGCAUUGCCAUCAUCUGCAAGAGUUCUUCCAUCUUCCUCUAGAAUAUGUAUUACUAGUUGACACUGGGAACUAACUGGUCCAGUCUGUAAAUUUCUAGCUGCAGCUAGAGGAAGGGGAGGCUACAAAGGGAAUUGCUAUCUCUCGAUCAUCAGAGAGAACAAAUAUAAUACAGGCGGCAGUCUGGCUGCCCCUGGAGCAAGUCAGAAGCAAGAAGUUUUCAAACAGGCACCUCUGAAAGUUCCCCAGAGUUUUGCUCUGCCUGCUGCACCCGCUGUGGUUAUUUGGUAGGUUACUUGCCCUGCUUGUCUUGAGGUGGCUGGAGUUGCAGCAUAUGCUUUCUAUUUAGAGCUUGGAGGAUGCCCAGGUCUGACUUGGCAUGCAGUCUGCACUGGGCAUCAGCAGUACAGAUGUGGAAACCACAAACCCGAUUAAUAUGAGCCUAGGGUAAAAACUCAAAUAAGCUUAUAAAUAAAACCAGACUUGCAGAUUAUUUGUUUCCAUAUUAGUCUAUAAUAGACCCUACUUGAUAUGUUUGUUUGGUUUAGUUUGGUGACCGACAUAGGUAUUUAUAUUUCCAAUAAAAAUUUAAAUCAGAAUAAAACAGACCAAGUAAGCUUAAAUUAUUUGUGCAGAAGAUGAUUGCAACUGUCUGAAGUGUGUAAUUACUUACAUGAAAUGUUAGCCUGCUUUGAACAGAGAUGUGACAAAUUCCUCACUAUUUAAUUUACCGUUCCUUCAUGGCUCCAAAUCCUACAUUCAUAUAUAAAAAUGGUCUCCUAAACGCAAUCUAAUCCUCAGUGAACAAUCCUGAGGUGUCAGAUGGCUUGGUGGGUCAAAUUCUUGAUGGAAACACCAUCUGUGUGAUCUUGGGUGAGUCACGGAACGAUCCCCACGUCUUAGCUUGAAGUAGUGACCAUGUGUUGAUGGCAGAGGGUGUACAAGUACCUACUGAAACUGGUGCUGUUUUAAAUCCUGCCAGGCUCCUGUUCUGCUCUGGAUGUUGUAGGGAACCCCAUUGCUUCUUUUCACUGUAACUUUAGCUAACAAAACUGUUCACAGAAUAGCAUUCCAAGGUUCUUGAGAAGGUUCUUCAGCCGUGCUGAUGGGUGUUUCCCUAAAUGGCUCUGGGACCUCCUGGCCCUUUAUCCAAGGUGAGAACGACUUGAUUCAGCUCCACUCAAGCAUGCACAGUUGUAAAGAAAAUCUGUGAUUUGGCAGCAGCAGGAAUCUAGUGUAUGCUGCCUGCAUUAAGGCGCUUAGGAUGGGACAUCUACCCCAAACAUAACAAGUCUUUGAAAUGGGACUUGUUGUACCAAGACUUUGUAUGCAUCUACGACUGUAUUAUCUACUACUGACUGGCUGGGCCUACCUAUCUUUCAGACUGUAUCAAGGAAAUAUAAUUGGAAUUAUGCUUCUGUUUCCUUAGCAGACAUCUGAGGGAAGUAAGCACUUUCACAUGCUGUUUGGAUCUCACAUAGGCUGUCAACGGAGUGUGUAGUUCCUGCAUCCCAGCCCUGAGCCUUGCAUAAGUAUACGCAGUGACUUUUUAAUGCUAGUAUGGCUUCAAGGCAAAUAAACAAAUUGUGCUCUCUUCCCAUCUUCACACUGCAAAAAGUAAGGGGAAAAAUCUCUCCCACCCUUUGUUAGGUUGUCAGUGCCAGAGAAAAGACACCAGUAGAUAUUCCAUUCAAAUGUCCAGUUUUUCUUUCCAAUUGUUGUUCUGGAUCCCUUUUAAUUUUUCCCAUCUUCUACUAGUUGAACGAUGGCUUCUUCUUCCAAAACAAGUUUUCAGCUUUACAAUGGUCUGGACUUCUCAUUGUUUGAAAGUCAAGAGGGUCACUCAAAGUAAACAGUGUUGUGCUAGGUAAUGUUUUUCCAUGUGAAAAUGUUGGAGGCCACUCUGUGCUGUCUGCCUGUAAAGGCCAGAAGAUGCCUUCAGGUUCCUCAGGUGCAUCUGUGUUUGUUUUCUAAUGUUCUUGCACAUACAAUAUCAUUAAUAUUAUGUCUAAACCUUGUCUUUUUAACGAACUAAAAUAACAAUCAGUCACAGGGAAAAAAAGAGAGGAUUAGUCACCAGAGGAAGGGAUUAACUCUUUCUGUUGCCCAGAGAAGUUAGAGAUGAUAUCACCUUCCUAAAUUGCAAACUGAUGUCAUUGGUUUUCUUUCACAAAUUAGUAUAAAUAAUUUCUAUCGUUUUGGCAGUCAGAAGUAAAAUGCAGCAGUCUGUGUCAUGUGGGAAUCAGACAAGACUGUUUGGUGACUUCCAAGAUAUGGUUCUCUUCUGCAGCACAUGCCUCUGAAGGGCAGGAAAUUUCCCUCCAGCUCACCUUAUUCUUUUUGUAAAUCUCCUUUUCCCUGCAGGCUGUCUCAGGUACUGUGCUGGGCUUGGCACGUAGACACAACUAGAAAUGUAGGCAGACUUCAUGGAGCAAAGUGUCCAAGUGCUGAGUGAGUGCCCAAUGGGCCAUAGCAAAAUGCGCAACCAAGUCAAAGAAAAAUGGAAAAUAUUUCAUAAAAUUCAUCUUUGCAUCCCUUUUUCCUCUCUUGAUAUACGGCCUCUUACUCACAGCUGCCCGGGCUGCGGCCUGCGUGUAAAUAUGUCAGAGCAGCAAUGAGACGGAACACGGACGCAGAGAUGCCGGCGGCUGCUCCCAGAUAAAACGCUGAGCUGAAGCCGAGGCGUUUAUUGUAAAUAAAGAUCAAGGCAAAGCAGCAACGUUUCUGUUCGACUUCAGCCUGCCAAGGUUACUUGUCCAACUCCUUUCAUGACUACCAUAUGUCCACAUGCAUUUCCCCCUCCAGAAAGUGAAAUGUUACUCCUAUGACAGCUCCGUAGCCAUUGCAAGUUCCUCGAUACUUUCCAUGUGUUGUUUUGCAAUAACCUGGAAACGCUGUUGGCAGAUGGGCCGGUGGGUGCCUGUGCAUGCAUGCAUGGGGGAGAGACUGCCAGCCAUUCAAGCCUUAUACUGCUGUACCUUAACAGUAACUUUGCAGGGCCUGGGAAACAUUAAUGCUCUUUUUUGUUCUUUUCAGUAGAGGGCACUGGAUCCUGUAAACAGGAAUUGGUACAUUGCAGCUCAAAGGGCCUAACAGCUUUAGCAGAUGGGCUGAUUUUUUCUUUUCCUCUGGAUACUUGCGACGUGGAAGAGAAGUCUGUACACCCACUGACAGAGAGACAUCCAGCGGUAUGUGUUGCAGGUACUGACCAUUGUUCUUGAGCUGACAUAAAAUGCUUCACUUUAAAGACAGCUCAAAUGCUCUGUUAGGCAACAAAAUUGAAUACUGUCACAAUACAUGCUUUACCUCUGCUGAAGAAAACUGGAAGGCCAGGAUUCUUCCUGUAAAGCAGCUGGUUAAUGGGAUAUAUGGACAAGAGACCAGUUGAAUCCCCUGGAAUCAGGACAAUUUGAGGUGUUGCCUAGCUCAGCCCUCGAACGGGAAACGAAAGAAUAACUUGAACAUCUCUUCAGUCAUUUCCUGAUAUUUGCUGUUAGAGAACAGAUGUGAUUCACUCCAGAAGGGACUGCUAAGUGCUCCCGUGAGUCUGAUCUACUAAGCAAGGGCUCAAGAAGGUGACCAGGAAUUUCCCUGAGAUAUAGACAAGGCUCCUGAAACUCACAUGAAAACGUGAAUGCCAUACUGUUCCCCAUUUGUUCCUGCUCCAUUAUCACUUCCAAUGGACACCCCCACAUCAGAGCAAGGCCCACCCAGGCAGGUCACAGCAGCACUUCUGUGGGGUGGCACCUCUGAAUUUCAAGCUUGCUGUGCAAGUGUGCUACACUAGGAAACAGUGGAAUCAGAAACAAAGGUGGAAGGGAUGUUCCCAUGCAGUUAAGAGUCUGUUUUUCCUCACUAGCUGUGUAAGGAAAUGAGCUUCCUGCUUAAGAUGAGAUGUCAUUUGCUGUCCUGAAGCCUUUGCGGCCUGGCUGGUCUGCUCUUUUGGGUGCCAGCAGCCAGGGCAGGUCUGUUCCAUGUGUGAUUGCUCUCCCACAUGUGCCUUGACAUGUCUUCCAGGAGAGGAGGAUCUGUUCCAUGAUCUUCCCGUGCACAGAGGUGAGGCUCACUGGCCUGUAGUUCUCCAUCACCUCCUUCGUCCGUCCUCGUAAAUGGCCGCGAUGUUUCCCUUUUUCCAGACCACGGGGACUUCGCGUGACAGCCAUGACUUUUCAGAUAUGAUGGAGAGUGGCUUGGCACCUAUAUCAGCCAGGUCCCGCAGGUCCUUGGGAUGUGUGUCUUCUAGGCCCAUAGACUUGUACACGUUCAGUCUCAUGAGGUGAUCUUGGACUUGCCCUUUCAGUGGGCGGGAGUUUGCUCCUCCAUUUCCUUCCCAGAGGUUUGGGGAUGUGAGCUUCAGGGGUGUGAGAAAUAUGAGAAUCCUGGCUGCCAUUUCAUUUAAGGAUGAGAAUAGUGUCUUUUUUCUUUUUAAGUAUGGAUCAAUCAUGUAUGAAGAUGAACUCCCACUCAGCCUCCCUUCGUCCCUAAUACUUUCAUUUCAUUCUCCUGCUGCUUGCUCUUUUAUGGUUUUGUCCUUGACUGGUAACAUUUCUCUCUUGUUCUCCCUUACAUGCACCAUUAAGAAUGGGAAGAACUUAUAUUAAAAGCUCAAGCCUUAUGUAGAUCUUAAGCUGUAAAUAAUGUUUUAUACAGAUUCUAAGAUUAUUAAAUCCUUCCAGUUUGCCUCCCUCCUACUUUUACAGUUCAUUUGAUUAGAGUGGAGAUAUUCUUUUGAAAAUUAACUAUUUCUGUUUUGAUUUUGCAAGCAGCCUUGAGAAGAUAGAAUCUGGCUGUGUGCACUGUUAAUCAGAAGAUUUGCCAUAGGAAUCCAGAAACACUGCCUUCAAGAGAACUGAUUGUUGGCAUGUAAAAAAAAAGCAUGCCAGAGAAACCCUGGAAUUCUGAGAUGUAGUUGACUUUCUAAAUACAGGCAAGUUGCAAUUAAAAACCAGUUAUUUGGGGAGAGAAAUGCAUUCAAAAUACAGUUCUUUGGAGGGGGCUGGCAGGCACAUCACAAGUGAAAUAAAUUAGUAAUGUGAGGAGGUAGCUAUGCUCAAGGAUUAACUAAUUUUGGACAGCUGUAGGAGCCAACCCACUGGGCUCUGUGCGUUGCCUCACUGUAACUAUUUAUCCUGCUUCUCUGGAUACCAGGGCAUCACAGAGCCAGGUAUCUGAAAUGCAGCUUUUCCUUACUAAUGCAACUAAACCAGCUGCUGCAUUUUGCAGAGAUCCUGCCACUGUAGUGCUGAGCCGCUUUUCAUCCCACUUGAUGAAAUCCGCUCACCUCAGCCUGUGUGAUGGGGGCAUGGCCAGUCAGUCAGGCUUUGCUAGUAUGGGGCUGAGCAUGGAGAAAUAUCCUGAGCGAUAUUUAUUGCAAAGCUGCUGAAAGGCUUCACAGUAGACAGCCUACACAACGAAACUAUCUCCUCCAAUUAGUCCAUGGUCAUCAAUGAGGUAAAUGUCUCUGCCUUCUGACCCAGACAGGGUGGAGUUUUAAUAACAGACAUAAAUCUGUUGUGCUUCUCUCCUCAUGACCUAACAUAUGCUGUCAGGGCAAUGCAUGCCUCAGAGAAGUAGAAUUUAUGUGUACAAUAAAACAAUAGAGCUUCAGUGUUAUCAGCUGUUUGAUGAACUUUAAUAUACAUUUGCUAUAAAAAAGGCAGCGAGUACCAGAAUGUGAUACUCAAAUAAAAACCCUUGAUCCAUUUGCAUGACAGAUCUUCAAUUUACUCACAUUCACGUGAGGGACACACAUAAAAAUUAUAUCCACCCUUAAAUUCACUUAGAAGCAGACUGAAAUACCCCCCAGUUGCAAGUGAUACUGCAGUACUUAGCUAAUACUCAUGUUUCCGUGGCUUUGCCUUCAUGAUUCUUCCAGUGGUUCCUUUAUGUUUUCUGGUAUUUUGCCAAACACCUGUGAAUCGGUGCACAACAAAUAUUCUUGCCAUUUAAUUUAGACUUGCACAGAAAAGCUAUAGUAGGCCGGCUGCAGACCUAAUCCCAAACCUCUAAAGAGGUUUAAGGCACUCUGGUUUCACCUAAUCCCGAAACCUAAACCAGAAUCAUUGAAAACCUCCAUGACACCAUAGGAAUGGGCAAAUAAAGGGUUUCCACUAUAAAAUUAUUAAAGGGACACGGUGUAUCUUUUGGAUUUGAGACCUAAGGCUUUUCCUAAGGAGCUUGGUGUCCACAAUGCAGUGUUUGUUUUGAAGACAGGAGGUUGAAAGCUUUAUUUAACUAGAGAUUUGGCUCCUUCCUCCUACCCAACAAGAGGAGGGUGAUCCCAUGGAGGGAUGGAGGAUGGGAAGAAGGGGGACCUGCGAGCAGGGGUGGCUGUGCAGCACAGCAGGACGCAUGGGUGUGGGCUCUGUGGUACUGGUGGUACUGGCAGUGCACUGCUGCUGCUUGGAACAGAGAUUGUGCGUCUGAGAGGGGCGUCAGCGUGUAAAAACCUGCGCUGAGAUGUGACUUUGUGACAGUGGUACAUUUCAUCUGGCAUUAAUUCCAGUUCAAUUAAUUGCAUUCUGACCUUCCUGAAUUCUGGUAACCGCCCCAUCUUGCCCACACCUCGUUAUCUGUGUCCUGAAAGGGGUGCUGCACGCUCAGGAUGGCUGCAUCCCAUUCUAACCAGCACCUCCCGAGCAAGCGGAACACGCGGCCCAACCGCGACCAGCAGCGCCCAGCUGCUAUGCGGCCCUCCGUCGCGCUCCGCUCGGCGCAUGCGCACCGCA